ensembl:snRNA U6 U6 spliceosomal RNA
AUGCACUCACUUCAGCUGCACAGAUGCUAAAAUUAGAAUGAUGUAGAAAUAGCAUGACCCUUGAACAAGGAUGGCAUGCAAAUUCAUGAAGUGUUCCAUAUUUUU